rnacentral:rRNA from 1 species
GACAGAGGAUGCAAGCGUUAUCCGGAAUGAUUGGGCGUAAAGCGUCUGUAGGUGGCUUUUUAAGUCCGCCGUCAAAUCCCAGGGCUCAACCCUGGACAGGCGGUGGAAACUACCAAGCUGGAGUACGGUAGGGGCAGAGGGAAUUUCCGGUGUAGCGGUGAAAUGCGCAGAUAUCAGGAGGAACACCGAUGGCGAAGGCAGGUCUCUGGGCAUUAACUGACGCUGAGGAGCGAAAGUGUGGGGAGCGAACAGG